AACUUAUUCAAAACUGUAAUAUGACAUUAGUAAGUCAUAUUAUUAAGGUUACAAUUGAAAAUGCUUGUAAUCUAACACCUCCUGCCUCAGACCACUAGAACAGCUGAGUAAUCUAACACCUGCCUCAGAUCACAAGAACAGCUGAGUAAUCUAACACCUGUCUCAGACCACUAGAACAGCUGAGUAAUCUACCACCUGCCUCAGAUCACAAGAACAGCUGAGUAAUCUAACACCUGCCUCAGAUCACAAGAACAGCUGAGUAAUCUACCACCUGCCUCAGAUCACAAGAACAGCUGAGUAAUCUAACACCUGCCUCAGACCACUAGAACAGCUGAGUAAUCUAACACCUGUCUCAGACCACUAGAACAGCUGAGUAAUCUAACACCUGCCUCAGACCACUAGAACAGCUGAGUAAUCUAACACCUGCCUCAGACCACUAGAACAGCUGAGUAAUCUACCACCUGCCUCAGACCACUAGAACAGCUGAGUAAUCUAACACCUGUCUCAGACCACUAGAACAGCUGAGUAAUCUACCACCUGCCUCAGACCACUAGAACAGCUGAGUAAUCUAACACCUGCCUCAGACCACUAGAACAGCUGAGUAAUCUAACACCUGUCUCAGACCACUAGAACAGCUGAGUAAUCUACCACCUGCCUCAGACCACUAGAACAGCUGAGUAAUCUAACACCUGUCUCAGACCACUAGAACAGCUGAGUAAUCUAACACCUGCCUCAGACCACUAGAACAGCUGAGUAAUCUAACACCUGCCUCAGACUACUAGAACAGCUGAGUAAUCUACCACCUGCCUCAGACCACUAGAACAGCUGAGUAAUCUACCACCUGCCUCAGACCACUAGAACAGCUGAGUAAUCUACCACCUGCCUCAGAUCACAAGAACAGCUGAGUAAUCUAACACCUGCCUCAGACCACUAGAACAGCUGAGUAAUCUACCACCUGCCUCAGACCACUAGAACAGCUGAGUAAUCUACCACCUGCCUCAGACCACUAGAACAGCUGAGUAAUCUACCGGAGAAUAUCAACACCAAACUCAGUGCUAGUGAAUGACGCUCAACCUGUCUUCAUCAUAAGGGAGGUUUCUGAGUCAAAGGUGAACAAGGUGAUUAGCUCACUAAAGAACUCUAAAGCCAAAGCUGUGUUUGGGAUGGACUCUACCUUUCUUAAAAACUACAAAGAGUCACUCAUUGGCCCCAUUACUAAGGUCACCAACACAUCUAUUGGUCUCGGUGUGUUUCCAAGGGUAUGGAAGUCGGCCAUAAUAACGGCCAUCUUUAAAUCAGGAGACCCUGCUGACGUGAGUAACUACAGGCCCAUUAGUAUACUACCUGUGGUGUCAAAGGUUGUUGAAAAGUGUGUAGCAGAACAACUGAUUAACCACCUCAACAACAGCCCCUUCACAUUACACUCCAUGCAGUUUGGCUUCAGAGCGAAACACUCCACAGAAACGGCCAACUGCUUUCUUCUGGAAAAUGUGAAGUCCAAGAUGGACAAAGGGGUGCUGUUGGGGCUGUGUUUCUGGACCUAAGGAAGGCUUUUGAUACUGUUAACCAUGAGAUUCUCAUCACAAAAUUGUCCAAGUUCAACUUUUCCCCUGAUGCCUUGAGAUGGAUGAAAUCAUACCUUGAAGGCAGAACUCAGUGUGUCAGAGUGAGCAAUGAGCUGUCGCCCACUCGUAGCUAUGAUGUGGGCGUGCCCCAAGGGUCAAUACUGGGGCCCCUCCUGUUCAGUCUGUACAUUAAUGAUCUGCCUUCUGUCUGUACUGGGUCUGAAGUUCAAAUGUAUGCAGAUGAUACAGUGAUAUAUGUGCAAAGAGCAAACAACAAGCUGCACAAGAACUCACUACUGUAAUGGUCCAGGUUACAUAGUGACUCACUACUGUAAUGGUCCAGGUUACAUAGUGACUCACUACUGUAAUGGUCCAGGUUACAUAGUGACUCACUACUGUAAUGGUCCAGGUUACAUAGUGACUCACUACUGUAAUGGUCCAGGUUACAUAGUGACUCACUACUGUAAUGGUCCAGGUUACAUAGUGACUCACUACUGUAAUGGUCCAGGUUACAUAGUGACUCACUACUGUAAUGGUCCAGGUUACAUAGUGACUCACUACUGUAAUGGUCCAGGUUACAUAGUGACUCACUACUGUAAUGGUCCAGGUUACAUAGUGACUCACUACUGUAAUGGUCCAGGUUACAUAGUGACUCACUACUGUAAUGGUCCAGGUUACAUAGUGACUCACUACUGUAAUGGUCCAGGUUACAUAGUGACUCACUACUGUAAUGGUCCAGGUUACAAAGUGGCUCAGUGACUCGUGUUUGCAUCUCAAUGUGAAAAAAACUGUUUGCAUGUUCUUCACAAAGAGGGCAACAGAUGCUACUGAGCCAGAUGUCUAUGUGUCAGGGGAGAAGCUCCAGGUGGUAUCCGAUUUUAAGUACCUUGGCAUCAUACUUGAUUCCAACCUCUCUUUUAAAAAGCAUGUGAAAAAGGUCAUUCAAAUAACUAAAUUCAAUCUAGCUAAUUUCCGAUUUAUACGAAAUUGUUUGACUACAGAGGUAGCAAAACUGUACUUCAAAUCUAUGAUACUCCCCCACUUAACAUACUGCUUGACUAGUUGGGCCCAAGCUUGCUGUACAACAUUAAAACCUAUUCAGUCUGUCUACAAACAGGCUCUCAAAGUGCUUGAUAGGCAUCAUCAUUGUCACAUCCUUAGAAAACAUGAGCUCUUGAGUUGGGAAAAUCUUGUGCAAUACACCGACGCAUGUCUUGUAUUCAAGAUCCUUAAUGGCCUGGCUCCCCCUCCACUCAAUAUUUUUGUUAAACAGAAAACCCAGACAUAUGGCAGCAGAUCCACAAGGUCUGCCAUGAGAGGUGACUGUAUAGUUCCCCUAAGGAAAAGCACCUUUAGUAAAUCUGCAUUCUCUGUGAGAGCUUCCCAUGUCUGGAAUACACUGCCAUCAGACACACAUAACUGCACCACAUAUCACACUUUCACAAAAUGCUUGAAGACAUGGCUAAAGGUCAAUCAGAUUUGUGAACAUGGUCCCUAGCUGUGUGUUGCCCCUUUCCAUGUUGUCUGUAGCUUGUGAGGUAUGGAAACACUUUGUUGCUUUUAUGAAUUUUGUCUUGCUGCUUUUUGUUCUAUGUUGCUCUGUCUGUAUGCUAUGUCUUGCUUGUCCUAUGUUGCUAUGUUGCUGUGUCUAUGGUGCUAUUGUCUAUAUUGUAAUUGUUUUUAAUAACCUGCCCAGGGACUGCGGUUGAAAAUUAGCCGGCUGGCUAAAACCGGCACUUUUACUGAAACGUUGAUUAAUGUGCACUGUCCCUGUAAAAAUAAAAUAAACUAAACUAAA